rnacentral:lncRNA from 1 species
AGUGGUGGUGAUUUGGGUCUAGCUUUAAAUAGUGGGCUUUGUGUAGCUGAAGUGAGCAUCCUAGUUAACCUAGUGUCCAGGACUAUUUCCACGAACUAAGGGUUGUUUUGACUGGUGUGUAGUACAGAGCCUUUGGGGUGAUAAGAUGGAAGAUUUGUCUUUUACCUCACCUCCACUGGUUCUUUCAGGAAUUAUAAGGGAUGCAGAUAAGUAAAUCUUUUAUUUUUUAAAUUUUUUGUUUUGCUCAUUGUCUUGGUUUUGGGGUAAAAAAUGAUGAUAGCUCUCUCCUUCCUGCUUCCUCCUUGCUGUGGUGGCUGGGAUGCUUCUUCCAUGAUUUUUUGAAUCUAGACUGGGCUGUUCUCUGUGUUAAACCAAUCAGUUGCGACCUUCUCUUAACAGUGUGAAGUGAGGGGGUCUCUCUCCCUCCUUCUCCUUCCUCUGUGAUUCACCUUCCUUUUUACCCUGCCCUGCGGCGGCUCCGCCCCUUACCUUCAUGGACGACUCA